GAUCCUGGCUCAGGACGAACGCUGGCGGCAUGCCUAACACAUGCAAGUCGAACGGAGAUUAUUUCGAUAAUCUUAGUGGCGAACGGGUGAGUAACGCGUGGGCAACCUGCCCUCUAGAUGGGGACAACAUUCCGAAAGGGGUGCUAAUACCGAAUGUGACAGCAAUCUCGCAUGAGGAUGCUGUGAAAGAUGGCCUCUAUUUAUAAGCUAUCGCUAGAGGAUGGG
rnacentral:rRNA from 1 species